CAGCCGCCGCGGUAAUACCGGCGGCCCGAGUGGCGGUCACUAUUAUUGGGCUUAAAGCGUCCGUAGCCGGGUUGGGAAGUCCUCCGGGAAAUCUGGCCGCUUAACGGUCAGAAUGCCGGAGGAUACUCCCAGCCUAGGGAGCGGGAGAGGCCGAGGGGAUUCCCGGGGUAGGGGGGGAAUCCUAUAAUCCCGGGAGGACCACCUGUGGCGAAGGCGCUCGGCUGGAACGCGUCCGACGGUGAGGGACGAAGGCCAGGGGAGCAAACCGGAUUAGAUACCCGGGUAGUCCUGGCUGUAAACGAUGCGGACUUUGUGUCGGACAAGCUAUGAGCUUGUCCGGUGCCGGAGGGAAACCGUUAAGUCCGCCGCCUGGGGAGUACGGCCGCAAGGCUGAAACUUAAAGGAAUUGGCGGG
rnacentral:rRNA from 1 species